AUAACAAUCCAACAAUUGCUUGCGGAUGUGGAGUUGCAAGAUGAGCUCAUGCGAGAGUUUGAUCCUGAGUUCAACUUGCAAGGACUGUAGAGUACUAGAAGUAUGAAAUGAAUUCAACUCGCAAGGAGCCAAGCCAAGGAGGCAAGGACGGUUACGGUUUCAAGUAGCAUUCAAGUUUCAAGUUUGAUCUUUGUCUCUUU